rnacentral:rRNA from 1 species
GACGAACGCUGGCGGCGUGCUUAACACAUGCAAGUCGAACGGAAAGGCCCUGCUUUUGUGGGGUGCUCGAGUGGCGAACGGGUGAGUAACACGUGAGUAACCUGCCCUUGACUUUGGGAUAACUUCAGGAAACUGGGGCUAAUACCGGAUAGGAGCUCCUGCUGCAUGGUGGGGGUUGGAAAGUUUCGGCGGUUGGGGAUGGACUCGCGGCUUAUCAGCUUGUUGGUGGGGUAGUGGCUUACCAAGGCUUUGACGGGUAGCCGGCCUGAGAGGGUGACCGGCCACAUUGGGACUGAGAUACGGCCCAGACUCCUUCGGGAGGCAGCAGUGGGGAAUAUUGCACAAUGGGCGGAAGCCUGUCUCAGCAUCGCCGCGUGCGGGAUGACGGCCUUCCGGUUGUAAGCCACUUUCGCCUGUGACGAAGCGAGAGUGACGCUGACGGGUAGCGGAGCACCGGCUAGCUACGUG